GCGGAAGUGGUGAAAUUGGUAUACACGCUAUCUUGAGGGGGUAGUGCUCGUAAGGGCAUGCGGGUUCAAGUCCCGCUUUCCGCA
rnacentral:tRNA from 1 species